AAAGGAAUAGACGGGGGCCCGCACAAGCAGUGGAGUAUGUGGUUUAAUUCGAAGCAACGCGAAGAACCUUACCGGGUCUUGACAUGGGGACGACAGGCGUAGAGAUACGCCCUUCUUCGGACGUCCCACACAGGUGGUGCAUGGUUGUCGUCAGCUCGUGUCGUGAGAUGUUGGGUUAAGUCCCGCAACGAGCGCAACCCUUAUUAUUAGUUGCUACGAAAGAGCACUCUAAUGAGACUGCCGUUGGCAAAACGGAGGAAGGUGGGGAUGACGUCAAAUCAUCAUGCCCUUUAUGACCCGGGCUACACACGUACUACAAUGGCGUUCAACAAUGAGCUGCGAACCCGCGAGGGCAAGCGAAUCUCUAAAAAGCGCCUCAGUUCGGAUUGCAGGCUGCAACUCGCCUGUAUGAAGCCGGAAUUGCUAGUAAUCGCGAAUCAGCAUGUCGCGGUGAAUACGUUCCCGGGCCUUGUACACACCGCCCGU
rnacentral:rRNA from 1 species